rnacentral:rRNA from 1 species
AGAGUUUGAUCAUGGCUCAAGAAUCAACGCUGGCGGCGUGCCUCAGACAUGCAAGUCGAACGAUUAAAGCUCUCUUCGGAGAGUGUAUAGAGUGGCGCACGGGUGAGUAACACGUAAGUAAUCUACCCUCGAGUGGGAAUAACAACCGGAAACGGUUGCUAAUACCGCAUAAUGCAGCGGCACCGCAAGGUGACAGUUGUUAAAGAUUUAUCGCUUGAGGAGGAGCUUGCGGCAGAUUAGCUAGUUGUAGGGUAACGGCUUACCAAGGCUACGAUCUGUAACCGGUCUAAGAGGACGGUCGGUCACACUGACACUGAAUAACGGGUCAGACUCCUACGGGAGGCAGCAGUCGGGAAUUUUGGGCAAUGGGCGAAAGCCUGACCCAGCAACGCCGCGUGAAGGAUGAAGUAUUUCGGUAUGUAAACUUCGAAAGAAUAGGAAGAAUUAAUGACGGUACUAUUUAUAAGGUCCGGCUAACUACGUG